CUGCUUGCUUACGGGUGUCGUGGAGGAAACUCGGCGGCCCCAAGCCUGCUACCCCUGCCUAUUGACACCCACCGUUACCUUCCUCGGUAGGGAAGCCUACCGAAGAUGUUUACACCACUACAUUAUAGCAUCCACUAUCUGAUGGCAUGAAUUAUCA
rnacentral:misc_RNA from 1 species